rnacentral:rRNA from 1 species
CCUACGGGUGGCAGCAGUGAGGAAUAUUGGUCAAUGGACGAGAGUCUGAACCAGCCAAGUAGCGUGAAGGAUGACUGCCCUAUGGGUUGUAAACUUCUUUUAUAUGGGAAUAAAAUGUUCCACGUGUGGGAUUUUGUAUGUACCAUAUGAAUAAGGAUCGGCUAACUCCGUGCCAGCAGCCGCGGUAAUACGGAGGAUCCGAGCGUUAUCCGGAUUUAUUGGGUUUAAAGGGAGCGUAGGUGAAUUGUUAAGUCAGUUGUGAAAGUUUGCGGCUCAACCGUAAAAUUGCAGUUGAAACUGGCAGUCUUGAGUACAGGAGAGGUGGGCGGAAUUCGUGGUGUAGCGGUGAAAUGCUUAGAUAUCACGAAGAACUCCGAUUGCGAAGGCAGUUCACUGGACUGCAACUGACACUGAGGCUCGAAAGUGUGGGUAUCAAACAGGAUUAGAUACCCGGGUAGUC